ensembl:lncRNA
CACACACACACUUCGUUUGGAACUCCAAAAUGGGACCGUGAUCCCGUACCCCACCCCAAGGGUGGACACAUUAAUGUAUAUAAGUGUCAUUAGUUAAGGUCCUAUUUGUGUUCAGCACUCAAAACAUUGGAUCUGGUGACGCUUUCAUUUCUGGGAUAAAUCAUCUGCAUGUUCUCCCCCUGGCUGCAGUACUUACCAGUGGACAGAAGCCUUGGUAUCUCUCUUGGCAGAGGUGCCCGUCUCUCUUGGCAGAGGUGCCCGUCUCUCUUGGCAGAGGUGCCCGUCAAGGUUGCCUAUUCUCUCCUCUCCUCUGCCAUUGCUAUGGACCCACUAGCUGUCACCUUUAGAGGACCCUCUAGCUAAAGAGUGAGAUGGACCCUCUAGCUAAAGAGUGAGAUGGACCCUAAAGAGUGAGAUGGACCUCAAAGAGUGAGAUGGACCCUCUAGCUAAAGAGUGAAAUGCACCUAAAGAGUGAGAUGGACCCUCUAGCUAAAGAGUGAGAUGAACCCUAAAGAGUGAGAUGGACCCUCUAGCUAAAGAGUGAGAUGGACCCUCUAGCUAAAGAGUGAGAUGAACCCUAAAGAGUGAGAUGGACCCUAAAGAGUGAGAUGAACCCUAAAGAGUGAGAUGGACCCUAAAGAGUGAGAUGGACCCUAAAGAGUGAGAUGAACCCUAAAGAGUGAGAUGGACCCUCUAGCUAAAGAGUGAGAUGAACCCUAAAGAGUGAGAUGGACCCUCUAGCUAAAAAGUGAGAUGAACCCUAAAGAGUGAGAUGGACCCUAAAGAGUGAGAUGAACCCUAAAGAGUGAGAUGGACUCUCUAGCUAAAGAGUGAGAUGGACCCUCACACCCUUAAAGGCUCUGUACCUAACUGCAGGAGAAUGUGGAGCCCUGUCUUAGGGUUCUAAGGGUACUGAUGCCCUGUCUUAGGGUUUUAAGGGUACUGAUGCCCUGUCUUAGUGUUCUAAGGGUACUGAUGCCCUGUGUUAGGGUACUGAUGCCCUGUCUUAGGGUUCUAAGGGUACUGAUGCCCUGUGUUAGGGUACUGAUGCCCUGUCUUAGGGUUCUAAGGGUACUGAUGCCCUGUCUUAGGGUUCUAAGGGUACUGAUGCCUCUUAAUGAAGUGACAGCAGAGCCACGCCCCCUCCUCUUUGUCCCUUUCUGUUCUGUUCGUUUUCAAACUUCUUGUCCUGUGUGUUGACUUUAUAUCAC